UACGUAGGGGGCAAGCGUUGUCCGGAUUUAUUGGGUCGUAAAGCGCGUGUAGGCGGCUGGGUAGGUCCGCUGUGAAAACUCGAGGCUACAAUCCGUCGAGACGUCGGCCGGAAAACCAUCCAGCUAGAGUCCGGAAGAGGGAGAGUGGAAUUCCUGGUGUAGCGGUGAAAUGCGCAGAUAUCAAGGAAGAACACCCGUGGCGAAAGCGGCGUCUC
rnacentral:rRNA from 1 species